GUUUAUAUAGUAGAUCGAUAUAACAGGUUGAUAGAUAGAUAGAUAAGAAUAUAUACAUAUCUACAUACAUAUGUAUAAAGGGGAAAGCCAUCCGAUAUAGACACAAAGGCGAAACGCAAUGCAAAAAUAAAGUCAAAUUAUAGAAAUCUCUCCAUGAACGAAAGAUCGGAGUAAAAUUUGUUAGGUUUUUAACAAAACAUUCAGCGAUAUGCACGAGUUGCCGAGCUAGAGUGGGUGGUGAUACUUCUAGUGAGAGUAUCGCACGCGAAUGCGUUCCUUUUAUGGGACCCUGCAAAACCCGUCAAAACAAAUCGAAUCGAAUGAGUCAGCCGCGUCAAGUGCCUAUUGUGUGAAAAAGCUGAAAUCGGAGAAUGACUGAAAGCGAUAUACAUAGGAGUUGGGAAGAAUUGGAAUAGCAUUGGAAUCAGAAUUUAUUUAUUCAAUGCAAUUACUCAGAAAGUGUUUACAUUCGGGGAUGCUACAUAUCUAUAUUUGUAUAUUCAGUAAACCAAUUUCUUAAUGGG
rnacentral:lncRNA from 1 species